CCAGGAUGAAGCCUGUGUAUUCAGGCAGCCUGAAGAGAUCACUUUUGGAAGUGGUUUGAGUGGGAACGGGUGCAGAGCCAUCUUGUAUGGACAGCCAGCCUUGCUGAUGUACUUCAGCCCUGUUCCUGUUUAGAAUCAUUCAGAGUGCGAAAUGCAGAAGACAGGCAGAAUUUAGGUUUCAUCUUGUGCAGCUGAGGCUGGUGCUUAGCUCUGGGAAAGGUGAGAGCGUGCCCAGGUCGUGCCCUGUUGCGCCUGCUCCCUGCCCACGCUUCCAUAGCCAAGAAGAGCAGCUCUGCUGGUCAACAUCUUGCAACAGCUGAAAUUGCCUCAGAGGUGGGAAAGGCUCAACUGAAAAAACUCACAAUGUUUCCUGACGGGUAAAAUUCUUCUGUAGUUACCAGAUAGUUCAAUUAUUGAAAUACAUAAGA